GGCGUAUUUUGCCCAGGCGGAGCUCGACCGCCGGUUCAAGCCAUGACGGGGUUCAUCGACGAACACCGCGCCAGGUACGGAGUCGAGCCGAUCUGCAGGGUGCUGCCGAUCGCUCCG
rfam:Acidovorax citrulli AAC00-1, complete genome.